rnacentral:lncRNA from 1 species
UUUAAUGUUGCCAGUGAAUGCUGGGCGAGGGAACAUUCAGCACCGGGACGUGCCCUGACAUGGACUCCUCACUGUAUUUGGGCUGCAGUUGUUUUGCAAUCCUGCUGCUGUUGUUUUCCUGCAGUGUGAGAAAGCUCUUUGAAGGUCCCCAAAAGACUCUUUACUCCCGUGUCCCCCCUUUUUGGGGGUCAGUUUUCAGGUUGCCAUGCCUGCCCUGUUCUGCUGCUGCCUCUCGGCUGCUCCAGAAGAGCGGGAGCACCUUCCUGUAAACACAAGGCAGCCCUGUCGAAACAUUGGGGUCUUCAACAAGGAGGGGACCCUCACCAUGAAGCUGGUGAACGUCCAGGCCAUCGACACCCUGUUCUCUGACAUUGCCACCACCUUCAACGGGCAGCACCAGGCCCACUGUGCCAUGCUCAGGGCUGCCAAAAGGCUGAGGGAGGUUUGUGGCUGUGCCCCCACUGCUGCCCUCACAGCCUGCCUGGGCACCCUGCAGCAGGAGCAUGGUAAGCAGCUCAGAGCUGGGGAUUCACUGGCACCAGUGUUAAAUCAUUGGGACCACGGGAAUGAG